AUGUAUGACCCUGGCGGCAGCUCGUCGUCCCGGCCACAUGGCAAGGAGAAGCUGCAGCCGGAGGUGGUUCUCUACACGGCGUCAGCUUCAGCGUCGUGCCGCAGAGUGCGCACCUCUGCCGAAAGCUACGCCUUGCGCGCCCUGCUGCGCGGCUACGGCGUGGCCGUGGACGUGCGUAGCGUGUCCACGAGCAAUGCUCACCGCUGCAAGCUCAAGUCGUUGCUUGCGGCUCGGGGCUGCCCCUUCUCCCUCCCGCAGCUCCUCGUGGGCGGCCGGCUCGUCGGCGGCCCUGACCAGGUCAGGCAGCUCCACCAGGCCGGCGGGCUGCGGCCUCUCCUCGACGGCGCCCCAAGGCCGAGCACCGCCUUCGUCUGCCAAGCCUGUAAGAGGGUCGGCUCCGAGCCAUGCGAAGACUGCAGCGAGUCCCGCAACAACAAGAUGGUGGAUCCUGUAAGUGGCAUUACUGAGGAGAAGGGGGAGAAGGAGGAGAGGGUUGUCCUUUUUUAUCCAACCCAAGAUGUUUCAAUGGGAGGUAGAGGCAGAGAGAUGGAUGCCAGUUUCGGUGUUUCUCUUGGCGCCAUGAGCCCCCUUCUUAAGAAGCUUGACAUGAUGCUAGGUCCUCAUGGAUGCAAGCUGACCAAGGGGGUGAAUGAUAGGUCGCAGCUCCUCAAAGAUGAUCUUGAAGAAAUAGCCGCAUACCUUGAAGAUCUGUUAGAGGUGGAGGACCCUCCCAUGACGGCCAAGUGCUGGAUGAAAGAAGCACGGGAGUUAUCUUAUGACAUCCAAGAUUGCAUUGACAACUUUAUGCCCCCUGAGUCUCUUGGCUACAAAUCUGACCACAAGAUGACUCAUGUUAAGAUUCCCAAGAGACUCAAGUGGCAGAAACAGAUUGAAUAUGCAGCUCCUGAUGUGUCAGGACAUGUUAUCUCCAAAAUCAUUCGUGUUGAUGUCAUUCGUGCUCCCAGGAAGCUCAAGUUGUACCAGCAGAUGGUUGAAAAGGUAUCAGAAUUCAGAAUCUAUGCCCGGGAGGCGAUCCGACGGUACGAGAGGUACCAGCUCCAUUCUUGUAGCACCUCGGCGGCACGUAGAUUUUCAGCCAUUGGGCCUAUAAUGCCAAUGCCGCCACUGCCUUGUGAGAAAACUUGUUCCGGCCUAGUAAUUGAUGGUCGGAUGAGCAAGUUUAUUAACUCUCUGGCUAACGACGCGGAUCAGCAGCUCAAGGUGGUGUCUAUUCAUGGAUUUGGAUGUCUUGGUAAAACAAUGCUUGCCAAAGUGUUGUACAAUAAAAUUGGGAGGAAAUUCCAUUGCCGGGCUUUCGUCCGGGUGUCCAAAAACCCUGAUAUGAAGAGGCUUUUCCACGACAUGCUAUCACAAUUACAGCGGAAGCAGCCCCAAGCAAGCCAAGACGCUUCUGAUGAACUUCGCAUUACUGCUGAAAAUAUCGGCAAUUGUCUACAUGGCAAAAGGUAUCUAGUUGUUGUUGAUGAUUUGUGGGAUACAUCAGCAUGGGAUGUUAUUAAUCAGCUUUUUCCCAAGGGUAGUCAAGGCAGCAGAAUAAUAACAACUACACAGAUUGAAUAUGUUGCAUUAGCAUGUUGCAGCGAUGACCCAGAACAAGUUUUUGAGAUGAAUCCUUUGGAUGAUGAUCACUCAAGGAAGCUAUUCUUUGACAGGCUUUUUGGUUCUGAAAGUAACUGUCCUGACGAAUUGAAACAAGUUUCAAGCCAAAUUGUAGAAAUAUGUGGUGGUUUACCGCUAGCAACCGUCAGCAUUGCUAGUCUUUUAGCAAACCAGCCUUUUGUAUCAGUGGAUUUAUUGACACACAUACAUGAUUCGUUAGUGUCUUGUUUGUCAUCAAAUUCAACUUCAGAAAGAACGAGACAAGUACUGAACCUCAGCUACCACAGGCUUCCUCAUUACCUCAAGACAUGCUUGCUCCAACUUGGCAUGUAUUCAGAGGGCUCCAUAAUCUUCAAACAUGACCUGGUCAGGCAAUGGGUGGCUGAAGGGUUUCUUGCUGCAAGUGAAGGGCAAAAUAUGGAAGAAGUUGCUGGAAUGUAUUUCGAUCAACUUGUUGAUAGAAGAUUCAUCCAACCUGUGUCUAUCAACUUCAACAAUGAGGUGGUAUCCUGCACAGUUCACGCCGUGGUGCAUGAUCUUAUUGCACACAAGUCUGCAGAAGAGAAUUUCUUUGUGAUAGUAGAUUGCAAUCGGAAGAAUAUGGCACUUUCUCAUAAGGUCCAUCGACUGUCUCUCCAACUUGGUGAUGCAAAAUAUGCCAAGAUACCAGCAAACAUCAGAAAGUCACAAGUACGGACGCUUGCAAUUUUUGGAGUAUCAGAGUGUAUGCCUUGUAUUGGAGAGUUCAAGCUUGUUCGUGUUCUGAACCUUCAAUUGUCUGGCCAUCAUAAUGGCGACCAAGACCUGUCCAUAGACCUCUCUAGAGUAUCAGAACUUUUCCAUCUGCGAUAUCUGAAGAUUGUUUGUGAUGUCUGCGUAAAACUUCCAAACCGUAUGAGAGGGCUGCAGUGUUUGGAAACAUUGGACGUUAUGGAUACACCAAGAGGCACUUAUGUUCCAUGGGACAUAAUAUAUCUCACACGCUUGUUGCACCUCAGUCUUCCUCCUGACACAAAUCUGCUGGAUUGGUCACUUGGUGACGAUAUGAGCCUUUGCAGGCCGAACCACCUGCAGGAUCUUUGCAUUUCUACACCGCUUUCUUCAGAUUCCGACCGUCUGAAGAGAAGCAUGUAUGCUCUGGAUUACUUAAGGUAUGAACAUGACAGCCUGAAAACUGUAAAACUGGUGGCUCACGGAUCCUCGGUUAGCUAUGGUGAUGCUUCAAAAGCAAGAUUUAAGUGGGUUUUGGAUAAACUUACCCACCAUGUCCAGAGAGUUGAGGUCUCACCGCACAGCCCCGUCAUAUUUUGUGAUAUGCAUUUGUGGGAGAUCCAACUUGGCAACCUAUGCAUUCUGAAGAUUGCAGUGGAUGGACUUUCAGUAAAUGAUGUCCAUAUUCUUGGACGGUUGCCUGCCCUCACUGCUCUGUCGUUGUAUGUGGAGAAGUCACCUGCUAUUAAGAUAACCUUUGGCACGGCUGCUGGAUUCACAGCUCUCAAGUACUUGAAGCUGAGGUUCAUGAGUGGAAUAGCUUGGCUAAGAUUUGAGGCGGACGCAAUGCCUAAUCUCUGGAAGCUCAGGCUCGUUUUCGACGCCAUCCCCCCACUGGUGGACCAACGACUUGAACUUUAUUCUGUGCCUGACCAGUGGAAACAAUAUCAACAUGGUACUGCAUUAAUCAGCAUCGACCAUAUGACAGGCCUUAGAGAAGUCUCUGCUAAAUUUGGAGGUGCAGCUGUUGAUCUGCAGUAUGUCUCGAGGAUUGGCGUAGUUAUUAAUCAUCGGGGCAAUCCUGUAAUCAGCGUGCAAUUAGUUGACUCUGGUUCCUAUUGUGAGGAAAGCACAGUACAGAAACAACAAUCAGAUGAUGAUAAAAGGAUAUCAUGGAGGUCACCGGAGUCUUGUUCGCGCCUGCAUCCUCCAGGUGUAGAGGAGGGUGGAGAGCAGCAGGAUGUGGUCUCGUGGAGCAAUACCAUUGGUGUGAUAGGUCGUGACCUCUUCAUCUAUUGCCUCCACCGCCUCUCCAGGUGGGAAUAUGCCGCCAUCGCCUCUCUGAACCGCGACCUCAAUUCCGUGGUUCGCAACGGGGACAUCUACCGCCUGCGUCGCAAGAACGGGGUCGCAGAGCACUGGAUCUACCUCUCUUGCGGUACUGAUCCUCCGGAGUGGGAGGCUUAUGACCCGUCCACUGGGCGCUGGAUCCACGUGCCCAAGAUGCCACCGGCUGAAAGGUACUUCUGGGAGUCGCUUGCCGUAGGAACCGAGCUGCUGGUGUUUGGGGACUGCGGAAGGGUUGCCUUGAGAUAUAGCAUCCUUACCAAUUCAUGGACAGGGCUGGCUGAUGCGAUGAACACCCCGCGGCGCUUCUUUGGGUCAGCAAGUGCCGGUGAAAAGGCGUAUGUCGCGGGAGGCGUUGAUUCUUCUCUUAUUAAUGUAUUGAGCUCCGCAGAGAUGUAUGACUCGGAGGCACAUACCUGGACACCCCUUCCCGGCAUGAAUAGGGCUAGGUACGGAUGCUCUGGCGCGUUCAUGGACGGCAAGUUCUAUGUGAUCGGUGGUCUUAGCAGUAGCCACGAGCUAUUGACAUGCGGUGAGGAGUAUGACCUGAACCGGCGGUCAUGGAGGGUCAUCGACAACAUGUCUCAGGAACUCAACCUUGAUCGGUUGGGUGGUCCUCCGCUCCUUGCAGUUGUGAACAAUGAGCUUUAUGCCGCUGAUUACAGUGAGAAUAAUGAUUUGAAGCAGUAUGAUAAGCUGGACAACAAGUGGAUCACUCUUGGAAAAUUGCCUGUACGGUCUAAGAAGAAAGAAGGCUGGGACAUGGGUUUCCGAGCUUGUGGUGACCGGCUGAUUGUUAUUGGGCCUCCAAACAAUUUUAGUGAUGAAAAGGUGGGUGAGCUUCAUUCAUGGACCCCGGAUGGGCAACCACCUCUGUGGAAUUUGGUUGCCACACGCCCAUACAAUGGUCACAGCUGGAUUCUGUGUGCGGUGAUGGGUUGCUGA
rnacentral:rRNA from 1 species